GUGCUUAUUUCAACACACAUACUAAAAUUGGAACAGUACAGGGAAGGUUAGCAUGGUCCCUGUGUAGGAUGACAUUUGUGUUUGUGAAGUGUUUGAUAUUUUA
rnacentral:snRNA from 1 species